GCUCACGUGGCGGAAUUGGUAGACGCGCUAGAUUCAGGAUCUAGUGGGGCGACCCGUGGAGGUUCGAGUCCUCUCGUGAGCA
rnacentral:tRNA from 2 species